rnacentral:rRNA from 1 species
UUAGAGGUCUGAAUAUGGCAGGAUUAACUGCUAACCCUAAAUAUAACCAAAGUCCGAUAGCGCACUAGUACCGCGAGGGAAAGCUGAAAAGCACUCUUAACAGAGCGUGAAAAGAUUUGAAAUUUGCCAGUUACAGUUUGUUACUGACCUAAGCCGCAAGGUAAUGGUUUGUAACGUACGUUUUGAAAAACGGGCCAGGGAGUUUUUCUGUGUGGCGAGACUAACUGAUUUUAUCAGGUAAUCAAAGCGAAAGCAAGUAUGAAAAUGCGUUAGUCACUCAGAUAAGACCUGAAGCCGGGUGAUCUAUCCAUGGGUAGGUUGAAGUCUUUCGAAAGGAGGAUGGAGGACCGAACCGGUGUUAUGGACAUGUACUUGGAUGACCUGUGGAUAGGGGUGAAAAGCCUAUCUAACUCGGCGAUGGCUGGUUCCUGCUGAAAUAUGCCUACGUAUAGUCUUGUUUAGUUUGUUAACGGUGUAAAGUACGGAUGGGGUUCGCAGGGUCUAAUGAUUACGGAACCCUUUCCAACUCAGAAACUGUUAAUUGCUUAGAACAAGAAACAGGGGCAGUAUGUAAGAUAUUGUUCCGAGACCUAAACAAAGGAGACUAAAGUUAAGGUCCAUAAAUUUAUGCUAAGUGUAUCGAAGGGUGUUUGAAACCUGAGACACUAGGGAUGUAAGCUCAGAAGCAGCUAUCAUUUAAAGAAAGCGUAACAGCUCACCUAUUGAGGUUCCGAGCCCCGAAAAUGGACAGGGCUAAGCAUAAUACCGAUACUUUAGAGGCAUUCGUAUGAAUGUUCUGGUAAGCAGGCGUGGUUUUUGUACAGAAGGUUUUUCGAGAGAAAGACUGGAACGAAAACUAAUGAGAAUCCUGGUAAUAGUAGGAUGUGAUUUUCCUGAGAAUGGAAAACGUCGAAAGAGCAAGGUUUUCUUGGCAAUAUAUGUUAACCAAGAGUUAGUCAGUACCUAAGUUGUAUCUUAACUGCGUACGACGAUGGAUGUCAGGUUAAUAUUCCUGAACUGAUUGAGCCUUAUAUAGUAUAAUUCGCUUUCGGAUAAGCAAACACUCGAGAGGGUGUUUUUACAAAGAAGUUUGUGGAGGGUAAUCCUUAGAUAUAAAUGAAUUUGUAAGAGGAAAAUUGCUGAGUCCAAGAGCCAGUGAAAAGAUUAUACUCUUGGUUCAAUUAACUGUACCCACAACCGACACUGGUGCUCAAGCUUAGUAAGGCUAAGACGUGAAGGGUAAAACAAAUUUAGGGAAUUCGGCACAUUGGCCCUGUAGCUUCGGCUGAAGGGGUGUCUAUCUUUGUGCGCUUAGAAAUUCGUGUGCAUUGGUAGAUCUCAGUAACAAGGAUGGCCCGACUGUUUAACAAAAACGUAGCCACGUGCUAAUCUGAAAAGACUUGUAUACGUGGUGAGACCUGCCCAGUGGUGGUGUCUAAAACUCCUUUUCAAGGGAGCUAAGGUCCAUCAAACGGCGGGGGUAACUAUGACCCUCUUAAGGUAGCGUAAUGCCUUGUCGUCUGAAUGGCGACGUGCAUGAAUGGUUUAACGAGGUUGUCGCUGUCCCAAAUUUGAGCCCUCUGAAAAUAUUGCCUGGUGCACAGACCAGGGACGCCUAGUGGGAAGUGAAGACCUUGUGGAACUUUACUGCAACUUGUUGUUGUGAGUUUAAUUGGAAUGCAUAGCAUAGGUAGGAGCGUCGAAGUUGUCAUUUCGGUGGCAAUGGAGCGAACUUGUAAUACUACCCACUCUGAUUAAACUUGCUUACUCUUUAGAGGACAGCAACUGGCGGGCAGUUUGACUGGGGCGGUGCCCUGUCGAAAAGAUAUCGAUAGGACCCAAAGACAAGCUCACCUAGCUUGGAAAUCUAGGGAUGAGUGCGAGGGCAAAAGCUUGUCUAACUGUAUUUUGAAAAGCAAGAAAUGCAGAGAGGAAACUCGGGCCUAGUGAACCCACGUGCUUUUUUAAUAGGAGCCGUGUCUGAUAGAAAAGUUACCCCAAGGAUAAUAAGCUGGUCGCCCCCAAUAGUCCGAAUUGACGGGGCGGUUUGGUAUUUCGCUGUCGGCUCUCCCUAUCCUGCGCGUGCAGUAGCGUGCAAGGGUGUCGGAGUUCACGCAUUAAAAGGGAUCGUUAGCUGGGUUAAGAACGUCGCGAGACAGUUUGUAUAAUAUCUACUAGGUGUGUUAUUGUCUGAGUGGAACAAUCUUCUAGUACGAGAGGAACGGAGGUUGGGUGCCUCUGGUGAGCAGUUGUCAUAUGGCAGGCUGCAUAGCUACGCACUGCAUGGAUAAGAGCUGAAUGCAUCUAAGCUCGAAGCCAACCGCAAAACGAGACAAUUAAGGCCGCAGAAGAAGACUGCGUUGAUAGAGCUCUUGUGUAAGAUUCAAGCUCACGCGAGAAUUUCAGCAUAGAGCUACUAAUAGCCUCAUUUGUAUGU